GACGAACGCUGGCGGCGUGCUUAACACAUGCAAGUCGAACGGAAAGGCCCUGCUUUUGUGGGGUGCUCGAGUGGCGAACGGGUGAGUAACACGUGAGUAACCUGCCCUUGACUUUGGGAUAACUUCAGGAAACUGGGGCUAAUACCGGAUAGGAGCUCCUGCUGCAUGGUGGGGGUUGGAAAGUUUCGGCGGUUGGGGAUGGACUCGCGGCUUAUCAGCUUGUUGGUGGGGUAGUGGCUUACCAAGGCUUUGACGGGUAGCCGGCCUGAGAGGGCGACCGGCCACAUUGGGACUGAGAUACGGCCUAGACUCCUACGGGAGGCAGCAGUGGGGAAUAUUGCACAAUGGGCGGAAGCCUGAUGCAGCAACGCCGCGUGCGGGAUGACGGCCUUCGGGUUGUAAACCGCUUUCGCCUGUGACGAAGCGUGAGUGACGGUAAUGGGUAAAGAAGCACCGGCUAACUACGUG
rnacentral:rRNA from 1 species